ensembl:lncRNA
GAACUGUAGAUGCAGCUAACCAGAGCUAACUGAAGUUAAAGAGCUCAAAAGAGAAAAUGCUGCACUCAGACACUCACCAUCCAUGAUUGAAGAGUUGCCAAGUUUGCUUCAAGAAGUCAAGUACCUAAAGGGAGAGAGACAAAGACACAAUAUUUCAAAGGACAUGACUGCAUCAAGACCCGUCCUCCAAUCUCACGAUAAGAGAGGAAACACAGUUUCUAAUGAUAUUGCUGGUGGAUCGAGACCCAUUCUCCAACCCCCCAAUAGAUGCUGACCUCCCUGGCAUAGCCAUCACAACACAAGAAGACUUGGUAGGAUGGCUUGAAACGUUUUAUUUAAACCUGCCAACAUACACGCAUUUUGCAUACCAUCCCGAUGAUGUUUCCUAAUAAAAAAU